AGAGUUUGAUCCUGGCUCAGGACGAACGCUGGCGGCGUGCCUAAUACAUGCAAGUAGGACGCACAGUUUAUACCGUAGCUUGCUACACCAUAGACUGUGAGUUGCGAACGGGUGAGUAACGCGUAGGUAACCUACCUAUUAGAGGGGGAUAACUAUUGGAAACGAUAGCUAAUACCGCAUAACAGUAUGUAACACAUGUUAGAUGCUUGAAAGAUGCAAUUGCAUCGCUAGUAGAUGGACCUGCGUUGUAUUAGCUAGUAGGUAGGGUAAUGGCCUACCUAGGCAACGAUACAUAGCCGACCUGAGAGGGUGAUCGGCCACACUGGGACUGAGACACGGCCCAGACUCCUACGGGAGGCAGCAGUGGGGAAUAUUGCACAAUGGGCGCAAGCCUGAUGCAGCCAUGCCGCGUGUAUGAAGAAGGCCUUCGGGUUGUAAAGUACUUUCAGCGAGGAGGAAGGCGUUGUGGUUAAUAACCGCAACGAUUGACGUUACUCGCAGAAGAAGCACCGGCUAACUCCGUGCCAGCCGCCGCGGUAA
rnacentral:rRNA from 1 species